rnacentral:rRNA from 1 species
AUUGAACGCUGGCGGCAGGCCUAACACAUGCAAGUCGAACGGUAGCACAGAGAGCUUGCUCUCGGGUGACGAGUGGCGGACGGGUGAGUAAUGUCUGGGAAACUGCCCGAUGGAGGGGGAUAACUACUGGAAACGGUAGCUAAUACCGCAUAACGUCGCAAGACCAAAGUGGGGGACCUUCGGGCCUCACACCAUCGGAUGUGCCCGGAUGGGGUUAGCUAGUAGGUGGGGUAAUGGCUCACCUAGGGGACGAUCCCUAGCUGGUCUGAAAGGAUGACCAGCCACACUGGAACUGAGACACGGUCCAGACUCCUACGGGAGGCAGCAGUGGGGAAUAUUGCACAAUGGGCGCAAGCCUGAUGCAGCCAUGCCGCGUGUAUGAAGAAGGCCUUCGGGUUGUAAAGUACUUUCAGCGGGGAGGAAGGCGGUGAAGUUAAUAGCUUCACCGAUUGACGUUACCCGCAGAAGAAGCACCGGCUAACUCCGUGCCAGCCGCCGCCGUAA